GGGUCGGCUGUUCUGGUAUUUCCUCGUAAUGUGAACAGCCCUUCCGGUUGUUGAGUCAGGCUCGUCGUGGCAACUCACGUAGCCACGCUGCGGAGUUGAGGAAAACCACAGGCAACUGAAAGAUGGAACCAGAAGAUGUUACAGAGGAACCAGCCAGUGAGCCUGGUGCAGUUAGCAAGCUAUGCACUAGCAUUGGGCAGCGAUAUCAGAAGGUCUUGGAUGAUGCAACGCCUCACGUGCGACGACGAUGGAUCCUGGCAGGCCUCUUCAAUGUUCUUUUCUUGGGCC